rnacentral:rRNA from 1 species
CCUACGGGAGGCAGCAGUGGGGGAUAUUGCACAAUGGGGGGAACCCUGAUGCAGCGACGCCGCGUGGGUGAAGAAGCGCCUCGGCGCGUAAAGCCCUGUCAGCAGGGAAGAAAGUGACGGUACCUGAAGACUACGCCCCGGCUAACUCCGUUCCAGACGCCGCGGUCAUACGGAGGGGGCAAGCGUUAGCCGGAUUGACUGGGGGGAGGGGGGGCGCAGACGGCGAUGCAAGCCAGGAGUGAAAGCCCGGGGCCCAACCCCGGGACUGCACUUGGAACUGCGUGGCUGGAGUGCAGGAGGGGCAGGGGGAAUUCCUGGUGUAGCGGUGAAAUGCGUAGAUAUCAGGAGGAACACCGGUGGCGAAGGCGGCCUGCUGGACUGCAACUGACGUUGAGGCCCGAAAGCGUGGGGAGCAAACGGGAUUAGAUACCCUUGUAGUC